rnacentral:rRNA from 1 species
AUGUCUUCCUCCUCCGGCGUUUCUCACCCUAGCCUCAGUGGGCAGGUCAUUGAGAAACUCUCCCGCACGAACUAUGUGCUAUGGCGCACAUAGAUCACGCCGCAGUUGCGUGGCGCCGGUGUCUUCAGCUAUGUCGAUGGCACUUCCCCGGAGCCGGCCAAGCUCCUCGCCGCCAAGGACAAGGACGACAAGGAGACCUUCGAGCCCAACCCUCUCCACCCUAUCUGGGCCCAGGAGGAUCAACAGGUGCUCGGCUACCUGCUGAGCAACCUCUCUAAGGAGGUGCUCGUCACGGUGACCACGGUCACCACGGCGUAGGCGCUCUGGACGACGCUGGCGGACAUGUACUUGUCGCAGUCGCCGAGCCGCGUCAACAACAUUCAUACCUCGCUCAUCAAUGUGCAGAAGGGCAACCAGUCCACCGCCGCCUACGUCGCCUCCAUGCGCGGCCUCGCGGACGAGCUGGCCGCGGCCGGCAAACCGAUCCAGGAUGACGAACUCAUCUCGUACAUCCUUCACGGGCUGGAUCUGGUGUACCAGCUCCUCGUCUCGGGCCUCGACGCCCGUGUCACCCCCGCCUCCCUCGAUGAGAUCUUCUCCAUGCUAAGCUACUUCAACCAGCGCAUGGCGCAGUUCCACGACUCGGGCAACGGGGUCUUCAAGUCCUCCGCAAACGUCGCCACCUGCGGUCGUGGCGGCGGCUCUCGCUACCGAGGUCCUUCCCGUGACAAGGGGAGGUCAGGUGGCACUAGGACCAGCGGCGGUGGCGGGCGUUUUGGCAACAGGGGUCGCCGUGGCGUCGGCUCUGGCAGGACCCGCCCGGACACCCCGCGCUGUUAG